UCGUUUCUACUAUCCAAUUUUCGCGGAUAUCCUACCGUACGGUCUGUAGAAGCAGUGGUGAAUGUUCAUUUUGUAUCAGCUGAUGCGGUCCACGGUUUUGCGUCGGUGACUGUUUGAAGCAUUAAACAUUCACACGAUACAGACGUCAUGGAGCGCAACACUACAUAGUCAUACCAACUUUUAAAUUUUAAGUUAAGUUUUCAGUUUUAAUUAAAAGAAAGUUUUGUAACAAAAAUGAAUAAAAUAAAAAUACAAGUAUGUAAGUCACCACAAAAUAUUUGAACAGUUUUGUGAAUUUAAGUACAUAAUAGAUAAGACAAUGAGAACCACGGAAUUUUAUUUUUCGAGUUCAAGUCUUGAUGACGAAUAAAUAAGAUUGCGGCAGAAUGUCUACAUACAUUUUUGCUAUUCCAGAUUCUAUGUUUGAAAACAUAUUCAGACUCGAAAAAAAAACGACUUUUCAAUUUUACCUGGAACAAAUCAGCCUAAAACUUAAACAAAGCUCGCGAAAAAUUGCAAUUACGUCAACAAUAAAAUUAGCAACAACUGUACGGAUUUUUGCGCUAGGGUCAUAUCAAUUGAGAGUUGGAAAUGAUUUGAAUCUUUCGUUCUCUCAGCCAACCUCUAGCAAAGUGUUGAACAGUAUUUAAAACACAAUUUGUAAGGAUUGGGUGAAGUUUGAAAUGUCCGAAGCUGAAGUAAUGGCAUUGAAAAGAUAUUUUUAUGAAGAAGAAUGAACACUGGAGGCAUCGAGUGUGUAGAUGGAACUCAUAUUAAAAUAAUUGUUCCCCGUAAAAAUAUCAAGCAUUUGUAUUACAACAGGAAAGAUUUCUCUAGUAUAAAUGCAAUGAUUAUAAAUACUUGCUAAUAUGUCAUUCAAUGAAGUGUUAGCUGAUUUAUAUUUUUCUUGCAGCUUUGUGACCAGAAAAUGCGAAUUAGAUAUGUUUAGGAUUACUUACAUUAGUUUAAGAUUAUUUUCUAAUAAUGUCAACUCUAAUCUGGCAAUACUGUCUUAUCUAAGCUUUAUAUUCGUCAUCUCUCUUUUAUCAUUCAUUUGUCUUUAUAAUUAUCUUUGUUUACGCAUACUUAAAGUUACGGUAUUUUGAAUUCCGUUAAACUCCUAUAAAUGUCAGAGGACUUGUGUGUACGACUCUCUUCUCUGAUUGUAACUUGGUGCUGAUUGUAUUCGUCUCUGGUUUGGUGUCAAGCCAACCGGUCACAAUCGUUAAAAUCCCAAUAAAGCAUUGAGAACUCUACCCGCUGAUUGUACACAUUGUUGGAGCGAUGGCUAUAUCAAUGCUGGCGUGUAUACCGUAAGAAGUAGAGGCGACAUUUGCGACUUCCAAAGGAACCUGUGCUUCUUCACUCCUGACACGACCGCGAUAACUACUAUAGUACAGAGCCAGAACAAAAUCCUUAAAUCACUUGCCGGCAGCUCUUGGGGAAAAUACAAUUCGAAGCGUUGCUGGCAACACACAAGGCAAUCCGCCUGUCGGUCCUAAACUGUGGUCGCCUGGAUGUAGUGCAACGCAGACGAAGAAGCUUCAGACUUAUCAAAACACUGCACUCCGGACUAUCACGGGAUGCCUCUUGAUGUCCCCAAUAGAACACCUGCACAGUGAGGCCCUUAUGCCAAGCAAUUUCUGCUGGGGUGUUUUCACAAAUCUGCUUGAAGCGGAUUCGCCUCCUAGGAACAUCACGAGCUCAUUCCUUGAUUACGUCGACGACAUCAGACAGUACGCCGACCGGACUUCGGCCGCAACGAACUAUAGACAAGCACUGACCGCCUUUCACAGUGGAGCCAUCAACACCUUCACCGACUCCCUCUCAGUGAAUGGCGUACUAAGUCAAACCAGCACCCAUAGCAGACGUAGAGCUCGAGUUGCCUCGCCAAACCAGAGUGACCCUCGCGUAACUUCGUUCUGGGUAUUGUAGCAGGUUAAACUCUGACAUACCAAAUAUAUGUCCUGCAUGCAAGAUGGAGAUGUGAAUGAAUUUAGAUUUUUGGAAAUAUACCUCCAAAAAACAUCGAAAUUUAAUGGUUUUUAUCCCUUUUUUAAAAUUUUCAUCUUCACUUUAAAUAUUCAUUCAUGUGAUUAUUUGAUUUUCUAUCUCGCUCCCAAUUACUAUAACGCCAAAAACCGACGGUUACUAUUUUGUUAUCAUAAUCGUUUCAAAAUGGGGAAUACCAAUUUAUUUUCG